rnacentral:rRNA from 1 species
GACGAACGCUGGCGGCGUGCUUAACACAUGCAAGUCGAGCGGUAAGGCCCUUUCGGGGGUACACGAGCGGCGAACGGGUGAGUAACACGUGGGUGACCUGCCCUCAGCUCUGGGAUAAGCCUGGGAAACCGGGUCUAAUACUGGAUAUGACUCCAUGACGCAUGUUGUGGGGUGGAAAGCCUUGUGCGGCUGAGGAUGGGCCCGCGGCCUAUCAGCUUGUUGGUGGGGUGAGGGCCUACCAAGGCGACGACGGGUAGCCGGCCUGAGAGGGCGACCGGCCACACUGGGACUGAGACACGGCCCAGACUCCUACGGGAGGCAGCAGUGGGGAAUCUUGCGCAAUGGGCGAAAGCCUGACGCAGCGACGCCGCGUGAGGGAUGACGGCCU